CCGGCGGCGCGUUCCUGGCAGCGGCCCCUCCCCGCCGCGCGCUCCGCCCCCAACUUCUCAUUCACACUUUCCCCCCACCCCCCUCCCUUCUAAGAAGGCUGAUUUCUGGCAGAGGCGGGGGCGCCGCUUCGGGAGAGCGGGCAGUUCUAGGAGGCCGACCUGGAGAGCCUCCCGGUUCCCCUUCCCCUUUUCCCGGACCCCGCGGGGACACCCCCUCGCCGCCACCCGGGCCUCCCCGAGGGCCCAACUGCGGGUCAGGCGGCCCGGGCCAGCCGAAAGGGAAGUGGGGCUACCCCACAGCCAGGCAGCGGGGCUGGGGUCAGACCCGGGAGCCGGAGGUUGGAGACGUGCGACAGUCACCUGCGGGCAGAUUCCAGAGGGGAGACCCAGGGCUGCAGGGGACGCCCCUUCGUGGCAGCUACCCAGCCUCGGCCCACUGCCAGGCGGAGGCGAGAGGAUCACUUGAGCAUGGACAUUCAAGACCAGCCUGGGCAGCAAAUGUUACGUGGCUGCAUGACCAUACACUUCUGGGUAGAGCCCAGUGGAAGACAAAGAAGACUCAAGGAAUAGCCCUUGAGGGCUCAGGAGCUAUACAGAUGGGAUAGAGGGUGUGAGUGCUGGGAAGCCCCAUCCAUGGCUCGCUGGAGAUUAGAGGCCUGUUAAUCUGAAGACAAAGGAAUGAAGACGAAAACGUUUCUGAAAAUGUGGGUGGAGACACCUGGGCCUUUACAGGGUACGCUCCAGAGCUGCUUCCAGGCAGGGACCCCGGCUGAGAGAAGCCAGAGCCAGAGAGUCGCAGGCUUGCUUGCUCUUAUCUUCCCUCUGCUGGGGGGGUCGAGGGGAGAUCUGGCCCCUCUGCUCUGCCCUCCUGAUUUCCCGUCUAAGGGAUUUAGGAGACUUUUGCCUUUUCCUAAUCUCUCCCUUUGCAGAAUUUCUGCGAAGUCACAAUCCCAUUUCCAGGCAAAGGUGCUUGGUCAUAAAGAUAAUAAAGAUAUUCAUUCAUGAUGGAGGGGAAGUACACAGUGGUUUCAGCUGCCUGUAGGGCUCCACUUACUCAUGGUGUGUGACAGAUGCUGAGCCCUUCCCCAAAUCUCAUGGAUGGGAAGGAAACCUGGCGCCGCGGGGUGGUCGCGGGAAGCCGUGGCAUGGCUUGGUGAACACAGGCUCGCCGACCCGGGGGCGGAUGCUGAGGUUGCCAUUGUUGGUGGCUGCAUCUGCAGUAGACGGGUCGGGAUGCCGGCCUCAGACCACAGCGUUGCUAAAUGCCAAACCCAAGGCCUCCCCGUCUUUAACACUGCUGGGCAUUCUACAGCGCAAGGAGGCAGCUGGGGCUGGACUGCCCAGUGCCUGCCGUUGACUGUGCGUCUUCUGCCUGUGAGCUAGCCUGCCACACCUGGGGAUACACGGUGGGGAAAUCAAUCAGCUUCCCUCCCUUCUAGAGCUUCAGGUCCGGCGUUGGUGUCUAGAGGCAAGGGGAGGAGGCAGGGAGGCCUCUUCUUUUCUGUCCCCCUUUCUCUUGGCCAAUUUGGAGGAGAUGGUGGGGGACCUGUCUCUCAUCUGACCUCCUGGAAGCCCUGCCUGCUGCUCCAGUGUGGCUCUCCCAGGGCUGAGGCCUGGAACCUAGGGCUGGGCUACCUGGGGUGCUCAGCUCUGCCGCACCCCAGCCCUCCUCGGCUGCAGCCCUGGCUUCUUUUCUUACCCACUGGGAUGGCCCGUGGGACUAACCUUGCAGCCUGCAGGACUAUGGCCCAGAUGACCUUUCCGGAGCAGGGGAAGAGUUCACAGGUCUCAGACCAGGUUGACCCCGAGCCCUCUCUUUCCUGCUUCGCAUAGGGGCGGGCCAAGGGAGGCAGGGACAAUGGCAUUCCUGUUUGCAGGCCUUUGUUCCCGCCAGGAGGGCCCCCGGAGCUAAUAAAAAGGUUUGUGGCUCCGAUGUCUAAGAGGCAGUGGAGGAGUUCUUUCAAGCCUGACAUUCCAGGCCCAGCCGGCCUCUGGCAUUUCCCAGAAAAACUUCGAGGAGGGGAGGGGAAAGAAAACACUUGAGGGACCCACCCACCUACCCACUGCCCGCCUUCUCGGAUUCCUCGUUCCCUCUGGGGAUUGGGCUGGGCCGGAGUGCCAGGACCCCUGCCCUGGGGGGCCCAUUCCUCCACCCACAGAGGGGCCCUGGGAAGUGUUGAGAGGAUCCUGAACCAACUUUGAAGGCAGAGAAGUGGGCUAGAAGAAGUGGGGUUGGAGCCUCCACCAAGGACAAGAAGGCCUUAGCCCCCUGCUUCCAGCUCAAGCUGAAGUGGCUGUGAGCUGAGCUAAGAAGACCCCACUUCGCCAGGAGGAGUGCCUCACGCCUGUAAUCCCAGCACUUUGAAAGGCCGAGGCAGGUGGAUCACGUGAGGUCAGGAGUUUAAGACCAGCCUGGCCAACAUGAUGGAGUCUAGCUCUGUCGCCCAGGCUGGAGUACAGUGGCGUGAUCUCGGCUCACUCCAACCUCCGCCUCCCGGGUUCAAGCGAUUCUCCUGCCUCAGCCUCCUGGGUAGCUGGGACUACAGGCAUGUGCCACCCCGCCUGGCUAAUUUUUUUGUAUUUUUAGUAGAGAUGGGGUUUCACCGUGUUAGCCAGGAUGGUCUCGAUCUACUGACCUCAUGAUCCAACCACCUCGGCCUCCCAAAGUACUGGGAUUACAGGUGUAAGCCACUACACCCAGCCCCCAUCUUGCUUCUAGCCUUUAAGCAGUCCUUGUGGAUUCCUGGGUGUAGGCCGAACUAACUUUGGGAAGGAAUUCAGUUCAUGGUUUGACUCUGAAACAAAAUUGACAACAGCCCUUUCCCGAAAAGACCCCCUUCUUGCCUGGGGUCCAGUCGGCCUUUGCAGGACUAACAAAUUAGCUAUAAGAUUAGAAAUAAAAGUUUAGGGUCAUGCAGCCUCUGGCUCCAAGAAUCUGAACCUCCCCAAAUUGCUCCUGGGGAUAACAUCACUAUUGGAAAACCGCAGAUCAGUGCGUGAGAUAUUUUGCAGACUCUGCAUUCAUGGAUCAGCUGACACCACCCAGACCGGUUAUCUGGCUCAACCAGUUCUGCCAUCCCACCCAGGAAUAGAAGAUAGCAAGAAAAAUUCACUUCAACCUUCUACGAUUCCAUCUCCAACCUGACCAAUCAGCACUCCCCACUUCCCAAGCUCCUUUACUAGCCAAAUUCUCUUUAAAAACUCUGAUCCCCGAAUGCUUGGGGAGACUGAUUUGAGUAAUAAUAAAACUCUGGUCUCCCGCACAGUGGGCUCUGCGUGAAUCACUCUUUCUCCAUUGCAAUGCCUCUGUCUUGAUAAAUCAGUUCUGUCUGGGCAGCAGGCAAGGUGAACCCAUUGGGCA
rnacentral:lncRNA from 1 species